UACGUAGGGUGCGAGCGUUGUCCGGAAUUAUUGGGCGUAAAGGGCUCGUAGGCGGUUUGUCGCGUCGGGAGUGAAAACUCAGGGCUUAACCCUGAGCCUGCUUCCGAUACGGGCAGACUAGAGGUAUGCAGGGGAGAACGGAAUUCCUGGUGUAGCGGUGAAAUGCGCAGAUAUGAGGAGGAACACCGGUGGCGAAGGCAGUGUCCUGGAGGGUUAACUGACGCUGAGGCGCGAAAGCUAGGGGAGCGAACAGG
rnacentral:rRNA from 1 species